rnacentral:misc_RNA from 1 species
GGCUUAGUGUGCCAGCAGGUGUUUGCUGACAUCAAAAUAUUGUGGGUAUUUCCAAUGUAUGAUGUUCUUUUCCCAUCUAGAGCAACUCAGGUGAAUUCGGGGUUCCUAAGGAGGAUGGAGAGAUAUGAACAUGAAAUGGAAUCUGUAAGAAGGAAAGGUAGAAAGUGGAUGUACAUUGUAUCGUGUUUGGAUUUAUAUCUACUGUUGGACAAAGUCUUCUUGGGUUGAAUAGGGCUUAUGCUGGGUAAAAUGGAAAUGUAAACUUGUUUUGAAUUUUCACUAUUUUUGGGAUGGCUAGAUUAUUGGUAAAGUAAAAAUGGAAAUGUGGUAUAUAGUAGCUUACAGGGAAGGGAGUUGGUUUUGUAUGGUUUGUUG